GGGAAUCUUCCACAAUGGGCGAAAGCCUGAUGGAGCAACGCCGCGUGGGUGAAGAAGGUCUUCGGAUCGUAAAACCCUGUUGUUAGAGAAGAAAGUGCGUGAGAGUAACUGAACGUCCCCUGACGGUAUCUAACCAGAAAGCCACGGCUAACUACGUGCCAGCAGCCGCGGUAAUACGUAGGUGGCAAGCGUUAUCCGGAUUUAUUGGGCGUAAAGAGAACGCAGGCGGUCUUUUAAGUCUGAUGUGAAAGCCUUCGGCUUAACCGGAGUAGUGCAUUGGAAACUGGGAGACUUGAGUGCAGAAGAGGAGAGUGGAACUCCAUGUGUAGCGGUGAAAUGCGUAGAUAUAUGGAAGAACACCAGUGGCGAAAGCGGCUCUCUGGUCUGUAACUGACGCUGAGGCUCGAAAGCGUGGGGAGCG
rnacentral:rRNA from 1 species